UCUUCCUGUAAUUGGAUUGCUUAUUUUUACGCUUCCUCUGUUGCUUCUCUGAUUUCUUUUCAAUCUCUGUUUUGGUUUUUGGAACAAACUAUAUAUUGCGAAAGAAAACCAUAUGUUAUUUUUAUCUUCAUUUUUUUUUCAUAAUUUUUUUUGAUGGUUUGAGUUCAGAUAGACAUGUUGGGAUUUAAUAUUAUUUGCAUAAUUUCUGUUGGAUAUUUGUGGUUUAUUUUAUUAUUUCACUUUGCUUUAGUUUAGUUAACAUAUAUAUAAUAUUCGUCAAUUAUUUUCCUCUAAUGCCAUUGAUUAUUUCCAUGCUACUCCCUCUGUUUAUGUUGUUCUUGACGAUUUCUUUUAAUUGUGGACAGUGUUUUUAUAAUACGAUGUUGUCUUACAUUUUCUUUUAUAAUUUUCUAUAUAAUCUUGAUGCUUUUUCUUUAGUUACGUGGAAAUAUUAUUGAAUUAUUUUGUUUUUGUUUGUGUGGAGAAUAUACGUGUUUAUUAUUGAUUUAUUUUUUUUAUAGUUUUUGUGGGGAAUAUCUUUGUUUAGUGUAUCUUUUAUACUCGUUAUUAAAUAAAUUGCGUAUCUGGCAAUCUUGUAGUUGAAAUGAAAAAGAGGAAUAAGCCACAAACAAAUUAUGUUUAUGCCUCUAUAACAAUGCAGUGGAUGCUCUUCGACAAAGAAAUAUUGAACUCGAAAAAGUUAAUUUCGUGGGUGCUCCUCUGUCACGCAAAGUCUUCAAAAAAGAAAGUAAGAAGGAGUAAACGUUCUCAUUCAAUCAUUUUACUGGACCAAAAUCAUUUCUAUCUCAUCGAUAAGACAAGAAAAAGAAGACAAGGCGUAUUCGAGUCCUUUUGAGUUGUUUUACCCAACAAGAAUGGGAUGAGAUCUGGUCCGAGACCAUAAAGUAAAAAAGAGAUGGUUGAGAUCUGGUCCGAGACCACGAAGUAAGAAAGAUGUGGCAGAGUAUGUUCAGACUUUGGAAGCUCGGCUUGCAAAAACUUAAGAAUUACUACAGAGUCAACGACAUAAAUUAUUACAGCCACAACAUUUGGCGGCUGAACGACAAUCAAAUGAGCAGAUGACAAGGAUGCCAUAUUUAUUGGAUAUGCAAUGCCAAGAAUAUGAGAGAAUAUUUGAAUAUAUAGAAGAAAUUCUUCAAAGAUUUACUAGAGGAGAGGAAGUUCAUCACUGAGUAAGGUACCAAAAAAGAGACGGUAGGAUGCUCCCAAGAGUACGUUCAAACCUUGGAAGCUCGACUUGCAAAAACAUAAGUAUUAUUACAUAGUCAACGACAGGAAUUAUUAGAGGUACAAUGCUUGAGCAAGUGGCAAGGAUGCAAGAGUUACUGGAUAUGCAACGCUAGGAAUAAAAGAGACGGUUUGGCAAGAAUGCAAGGGAUUUAUUGAAAGAGGAAUUUUAUCACUGAGUAAGGUACGAAAAAUGGGCGAUAGGAUGCUCCCAAGAGUAUGUUUAGACCUUGGAGGCUCGACUUGCAAAACAAAAGAAUUAUUACAGAGUCAACGACAAAAGUUAUUAGAGCCACAACGUUUGGCAGCUGAACGACAAUCAAACGAGCAUAUGACAUAAAGAUGCAAGAGUUAUUGGAUAUGUAAUGCCAGGAAUACGAGAGAAGGUUUGACAAGAUGGAAGAAAUUCUUUAGAGAUUUGCUAGAGGAGGAGGAAGUUCAUCACUGAGUGAGGUACCAAAAUUUUGAAUUUCUUUAUAUUUAAGUUUGUGUAAUAUGUUAUUGAAUAUGAAUGUUGCUAAAUUUCCUUCUUUAAUAUUGUUAUCGGAGCUUGAGCCCAUUGAGAGGGACGGUGACUAAUGUGAAAUUUGAUUUAGACUUUGUUGUUGGAGCUUUUGAUUUUUGUUCCUCAUACGUCUUAUGUUUGUUGUUGGAGUUUGAAACAUUUGGAUGUGGAGUUAGUUAUAGAGUUUGUUGUUGGA